GACAGAGGGGGCAAGCGUUGCUCGGAAUUACUGGGCGUAAAGGGCGCGUAGGCGGGAUGGCAAGUCGGUCGUGAAAUCCCUCGGCUCAACUGAGGAUCGUCGAUCGAUACUGCCGUUCUUGAGGAUUGCAGAGGAGACUGGAAUUCCUGGUGUAGCAGUGAAAUGCGUAGAUAUCAGGAGGAACACCGAUGGCGAAGGCAGGUCUCUGGGCUGACACUGACGCUCAUGCACGAAAGCGUGGGGAGCAAACAGG
rnacentral:rRNA from 1 species